rnacentral:tRNA from 7 species
GGGCGCGUGGCUCAGUUGGUUAGAGCGUCUCGUUUACACCGAGAAGGUCCCUGGUUCGAAUCCAGGCGCGCCCACCA